UAAGUUUAGGGUCAGCCCACACCUCCUGAUCCAAAAUCAUGUGAUCAUUAACAGUGACAAAGGCAAAAAAUGGCAUCAGAUUAUAUGGAAGCAUCUGCCUUUGAAUUUAUGGGAAGUAAAAGCGAGCACCAAGGACACUGAUAUGAGCAUUUAUAAUUGUGAUGACAUCACAUGGAGAGUCAAAUGACGUUAACCAGUCUUAGUGGACAACACCAGAACCUCCGACGCUUCUCAGGCUCUUCUCCACCUCAAUACAGAUCAACUCCCCUGACUGUGCAAAGUUUCAUCAGCAGCAGCUCCCCGAGCAGAUGACUCAACACUGUGCACAUCACAAGAACACUCAUAUCUAGCUUAUCUUUAUCAUCAUGUGUAGAGUUGUGAUUUCUUUUCUCAAACACAGCAUAUACUGGUCCUUGUUGGCUGUUGUAUAACACUUUUGGGAACUUUGAUUUUGCAUAAUUAGCAUUUAUAAUUAAAUGUACACUCUAUCGUCCUUAUUAAAAUAAAGGUAAAUGUUUUGUCUUUUUUCCUCUAACUUAUAUAUACAUACACACACUAUAUUGCCAAAAGUAUUCGCUCACCUGCCUUGACUGGCAUAUAAACUUAAGUAACAUCUGAUCCUAAUAAAUAGGCUUCAAUAUGACGUCGGUCCACCCUUUGCAGCUAUAACAGCUUCAGCGCUUCUGGGAAGGCUGUCCACAAGGUUUAGGAGUGUGUUUUUGGGAAUUUUUGACCAUUCUUCCACAAGUGCAAUUGUGAGAUCACACACCGAUGUUGGAUGAGAAUGCCUGGUUCUCAGUCUCCACUUUAAUUCAUCCCAAAGGUGUUCUAUUGGUUGAGGCCAGGACUCUGUGCAGGCCAGUCAAGUUCAUCCACACCAGAUUCUGUCAUCCAUGUCUUUAUGGCCCUUGCAUUGCGCACUGGUGCAUAGUCAUGUUGGAAGAG